GAGAGUGGGUAGUCCGCACGAGCGCACCUCACUUUUAGUUGCCAUCAUUAAGUUGGGCACUCUGAAAGAACUGCCAGUGAUAAGCUGGAGGAAGGUGGGGAUGACGUCAAGUCCUCAUGGCCCUUACGUGUUGGGCUACACACGUGCUACAAUGGUAUCUACAACAGGAAGCAAGACGGCGACGUUAAGCAAAUCCUUAAAAGAUACCUCAGUUCGGAUUGCACUCUGCAACUCGAGUGCAUGAAGCUGGAAUUACUAGUAAUCGUGGAUCAGCGUGCCACGGUGAAUGCGUUCCCGGGUCUUGUACACACCGCCCGUCACACCAUGGGAGUUGGUUCUACCUUAAGGCAAGGUUUCAAACCCUUGACCACGGUAUAGUCAGCGACUGGGGUGAAGUCGUAACAAGGUAGCCGUAGGGGAACCUGCGGCUGGAUUACCUCCUUUCU
rnacentral:rRNA from 1 species